UCACCGAAGGUGCAUAAUACGUAC
rnacentral:siRNA from 1 species